rnacentral:rRNA from 1 species
GAAGGGGGGCAAGUGUUCUUCGGAAUGACUAGGCAUAAAGGGCACGUAGGCGGUGAAUCGGGUUGAAAGUGAAAGUUGCCAAAAAGUGGCGGAAUGCUCUCAAAACCAAUUCACUUGAGUGAGACAGAGGAGAGUGGAAUUUCAUGUGUAGGGGUGAAAUCCGUAGAUCUACGAAGGAACAGCCAAAAGCGAAGGCAGCUCUCUGGGUCCCUACCGACACUGGGGUGCGAAAGCAUGGGGAGCGAACAGG